ACCCCUGUGUUUAGUAAACGAUGAGAAAUGUUGGGCACUCUAAGCAGGGGCGUAGGAUAACGGGGAGGAAGGUGGGGAUGACGUCAAGUCAGCAUGGCCUAUAAGAAACAGGGCCACACACGUGCUACAAUGGGCGGUACAGAGGGAUGCAAUGCCGCAAGGCCGAGCUAAUCCCUAAAACCGUUAUCAGUUCAGAUCGGAGGCUUGCAACUCGCCUCCGUGAAGGCGGAAUCGCUAGUAAUCGCUUCCCCCUCAUUGCUCCGAGGUGAAUACGUUCUCGGGCCUUGUACACAUCCGC
rnacentral:rRNA from 1 species